rnacentral:rRNA from 1 species
AUACGUAGGGUGCAAGCGUUAAUCGGAAUUACUGGGCGUAAAGCGUGCGCAGGCGGUUUUGUAAGACAGUGGUGAAAUCCCCGGGCUCAACCUGGGGACUGCCAUUGUGACUGCAAGGCUGGAGUGCGGCCGAGGGGGAUGGAAUUCCGCGUGUAGCAGUGAAAUGCGUAGAUAUGCGGAGGAACACCGAUUGCGAAGGCAAUCCCCUGGGCCUGCACUUACGCUCAUGCACGAAAGCGUGGGGAGCAAACAGGAUUAGAUACCCUGGUAGUCCACGCCCUAAACGAUGUCAACUGGUUGUUGGGGAUUUAUUUUCUCAGUAACGAAGCUAACGCGUGAAGUUGACCGCCUGGGGAGUACGGCCGCAAGGUUAAAACUCAAAGGAAUUGACGGUG